AUGCUUCUGUUGGUGGACUCGGGUAGCACUCACACUUUUGUGAACUCAGAAUUUGCACGCAGGGCUGGCUGUCAGGUGCAAGAUGCAGAACCAGUGACAGUUCGAGUAGCUAAUGGUGAUACACUACAGUCCAAUCAACAAGUAGCUCAAUUGCAAUGGUGGUGCCAGGGAAACAUAUUUGCUACAGACAUGCGUUUGCUGGAUCUGGGUGCUUAUGAUGCAGUGCUAGGGGUCGAUUGGUUGGCGCAAUUCAGUCCUAUGAAUUGUCAUUGGGGCUUGAAAACAUUGGAGUUUCGUCAUGGCAGUACUAACAUUAAGCUACAAGGAGUGCGCGCGCUGACACAGCCGGCACUUACAGAAAUCAGAGCAGAGCAACUAUCCAAAUGGAUACAGGGCAAUGAGGUUUGGGCUCUAGCAGUGAUUCACACAACUGAAUCGGCGUCAGAAACCAAGGAGCCCGUGCCACCACAAGUGCAAGCGCUGCUUGAUGAGUUUGUUGAUGUGUUUCAGGAGCCAACGACUCUGCCCCCUCACCGCACUUUUGAUCAUGCAAUUCAUCUGGAACCCGGAGCUACUCCACCUAAUGUCCGACCGUACCGCUAUUCACCACUGCAGAAGGAUGAGAUAGAGCGCCAGUUGCAGAAAUGCUUCAGGCCGGUUUGA
rnacentral:rRNA from 1 species